CUCCUAGCAACAGUAAAACAUUCCGACGAGACCGUCCAUCUGUCAGUGUAUAUACAUAGUCUACAAAUAUAGCCGUGCGAGUGUGACAUCCACCACCAGCACACCUACAUGAAGGUAGGGGGCAAGGAAAAGGAAGGAGGGAGAAGAAGAAGUGAAGUUGGGGGAGGAAGGCUCUCAGGCAGUGGCAUUACCAGUGACCAGGCAGAGAGAGCAGGUCAAACAAGGGCAGGAACUCUCUCUGACCAGCACGUACUUUAUGAGACGCAUGGAGCCUCUCUUCCCUCGCCAUGAUGUUCGGUAGCGUCCCAUCCUUUUCCUCUGACCUCUCCAGCUCAC